CCGGGUUAGAAAACAAUUGGGAGGAGUCUGUUCUAGAAACCGUGCCUAAGUUAGUGCUGCAGCGAAGGUUUGCUGCUGAAGCGAGCGCAGUUACCCAAAAUCCAACCACACAAACGAAACCGCUUCCAGACCUGAGUACUUGGACCUACAUUUAUUAAUCCACUUCGAAUCCCAGCACUUCACACUCGAGCUUCCAAAUUCAAACCGCCAACGUUAACAGUUCCCGGAACGACACCAAAACCAGUGAAGCCCUUUUCCAUGUCCCCGUGUGAAUUGACAAAGGAAGAGGUCGGGCAUUCACAAUUCGCCCAACUUUACACUCAAGACAGUAUAGUGACAGCAAAGACAGUAACUCCCUCACCAACGCUGUUCCCACACCACACCGAAUCCCUUUGUUUCUACUCCCCGCAAACGUAAAUGGAACAGAAGCCGAGAACCUCGGCGUUAUACUGAAGGAAGGAUGUAACAAAAAGUCAAAGAAACUUAACGGAAGCUACAGAGGCAGAGAUAACCCGAAAGGUCGAUAGAAAAGUAGGAAAGGCAACCCAAAAGGAAUGGGAGGAAAACCUAGGGUGUUGGAAACCACUUCAAGGGCUGCCAAGUGACGGGAAUCUGGGCCCACCAAGCCGAGGAUUGUUCCUGAGACCAUAACCUCAACACUGACCAGGCAUGGGGCUAACUCUUCAGACUCUGCCCACCAAGCACCUCGGCCUACAAGUCCACAACAAAGUAGAACAAUUAUAGCAAUGUGUCGUAGUCACACUUGGUGCAUCUCUGUCUUCCGUUUGGACUGGGAAGAAACCAGUUCUCUUGAACUGUGGUGAAUGGUUGCCAAGCUGAAUCAGGUGUUACCUGAUGGUGACUGCAGUACCAACAGUGACCUUAGAAAACCAGGUAAACGCUACAAACUGGGUGUGGCAAAGUCUGUGUCUUUGGUGAGAACUGUCACCCGACCCUAAACUACCAUACUUACUCUAUUUAUAUUAAAGAGAAAUGAAUUUACAUCUUAAGACAUGGUUACUGGGGCUGGAGCGAUAGUUCUAUCAACAAGCACAAGGACCUAACUUAGAUUCUCAGUACCUACUUUAAAAAAAGCUGGGCUUGGUGGAGCCAGGCAGAGUCCUGGGUUUACUGGUCAGCUAGACUAACAUUGUAGUGAGCUCCAGGCCAAUGACAGGCCCUGUCAAAUAAACAAGGUGAACUGCAUCGGAGGAACACCACCAAGUUUGUCAUCCACGAGCCUACAUACACUCAUGCACUUGCAUAUACGUAAACAUGCACACAUAGAAACAAGAUUUAUGGUUUUCUGUCUUUCUUACUGUAUACCUAUUCCCAAGGGGCAGAAGGCUCCAUUAGGAUUUCCAUGGAUUGUUCUCUGGGGUAAACUAAAGAGGAAGAUCUGGUCGGGUGGUAGUGGUGCACACCUUUAACUCCAGCACUCGGGGAGGCAGAGGCAGGUGGAUCUCUGUGAGUUCAAGGCCAGCCUGGUCUGCAGAGCAAGUUCCAGAACAGGCUCCAAAGCUACAGAGAAAUCCUGCCUUAAAAGAGGGAGAAAGAUCUAAACUUACCUCCAUAAUCAUCUUCCUUUUCCACUUAGGCCUAUUUGUCCUAAUUCUAGAUGCCUCUAGAAGCCAAAGAUAUCUAGACAGUUUCUUUGAAAAUUAGAACAUUGUGAGUUUGUCUUAGUCUAGUAAUAAUUUCUCAAAUGCUAUGCUUAUGUUCUUCUAAAACAGUCUAAUUAAUCAAUUUGGAUUCUUCUUUAUUAAAUUGGGUUAAACAAUUUCGCUAUAUUUCACAGAGUUCAGUAAUUGCGCAUUUUACAAGGAGCCUAGGGCGCUUUCCUAGAGUACCAAGGAGGUCAACAAAACAAAUGUAACUUUCAACCUCAGAUUGUAAACUGGUUAAUUUAUUGAACUGACUAAAGCUACAUUAUCUUAACAUAAGUCAAAGCUUAUAUUUAAGCUUUCUUACACAUUAAAAAUUUUGGCUAAGUAAAAUCUUAUAAGGCAUACCAAAAGAUUUUAAACCAGCAUUAGGAACAAAACUGAUAAGUCCAAAAGGCAGGCUUUUUUAUGAUCUAACUUAAUAAUUUUGUCUUCACAAUUAGCAAAUUGAUAUUGCUGAAAUAGCACAUGAAAGAGUGUGCAGACAUGUUCACUGUGGAACAAGCACAUUAAUCAGUGAGCAGGAGUGACUUGGGGGAAGAGCACACGAUCGCCAGAUCAUGUCCUUGGGUGCCAAGACAUGCUGACAUGUGUAUUUUGUCAUUUGUCCUCAAUCUGAAGUAUAUUGUAAUACACAAAGUAUUAGGUUAAGGCCAGAAUACUUGAAGUGUAGUCUAAAUAGUAAAGCUAUAGCCUUUGUCAGGGUUAAUUUCUAUUGCUAUGAAAAACACCAUGACCAAGGCAACGUAUAAAAGGAAAUAUUUAACUGUCUUACAGUUUCAGAGAGUUAAAAUCCAUGAUUACCAAGCAAAGGAACAUCUGAGAGCUUAUAUCUCAAUCCACAGCUAUGAGACAGAGAGAGAGAGCGAGCACUGGGAAUCACACAAACCUUUUAAAACCUCAAAGCCCACCACCAGUGACAUACCUCCUUCAA